ACCGCCCUGUGACGUCACAAGUUUUUGUACACAAAAAAGUUGACUGAAUCGAAGAAAUUGGUUCAGCGAUACUCUUGAAAAUUGGAUAUUACACACUCAUUUGAAGUAUAUGCAUCUUUCAACAUGAGUGAGACGACCGACAACGGCCGUAGAUUGUCCGGGUACCUACUGAACCACUAUGGCCGCACACCACGAAGAAAGGGAAGGUUUCACACUCCCAGAAGUCUCACUGAAAUCCCGUCAGGCGGCUGUGACUAUGCGAGAGAGAGAGCGAAAGAGCGGAAGCACUACACCGAUGAAGACAUCGAUGAUGAUGAGAUUGAGGGAAAGCGCAACUACAACAUCGAGGACAAACUCCUGCGCAGCACCUACAAGGGAAACUAUGUCCAAUACAUGAAGGGACCCGAAUUCACCCUGAAGUUUGUCCAGGAGAAUGGCCUGCUGCAACCAAUACUCUUCAAGGACAAGACAGGGCUUGGAAUGAGGGUUCCGAGUGAAAACUUCAAGGUCAGCGAUGUUAAACAGUGUGUGGGAAGUCGACGGAUGCUGGACGUCAUGGACGUCAACACCCAGAAGGGCCUGGAGAUGACGAUGAAGGACUGGGUGCGGUACUACGAGAACAUCAAGCGUGACCGCCUCCUCAACGUCAUCAGUCUGGAGUUCAGCCACACACGUUUGGAGAACUACGUCGAGUCGCCUACGCUGGUGCGGCAGGUCGACUGGGUGGACAGGGUGUGGCCGAGGCAUCUCAAGGACUGCCAGACAGAAUCCACCAACAUCAUUGAGAAGAUGAAGUACCCCAAAGUCCAGAAAUACUGCCUGAUGAGUGUGGCGGGGUGCUACACAGACUUCCACAUCGACUUCGGAGGCACCUCUGUGUGGUACCACAUCCUCCAUGGGGAGAAGAUAUUCUGGCUCAUUCCCCCGACAGAGGCAAAUGUGGAGCUGUACGAAAACUGGGUGCUGUCUGCCAAACAAGGCGACAUAUUCCUCCCAGACCAGGUGUCUGAGUGUCAGAAGAUCCAUCUCCAGGCCGGCGAUACAUUCAUCAUUCCUUCAGGUUGGAUCCACGCCGUGUACACUCCGCGGGACUCUCUGGUGUUUGGAGGUAACUUCCUCCACAGCUUCAACAUCCUCCAGCAGCUGCGAGUGGCCGAUGUAGAAGAUAAAACACAUGUUCCCCAGAAAUUCCGAUAUCCAUUUUACAACGAGAUCAUGUGGUACGUAUUGACUCGUUACGUGGAAUGUGUGGGCAAGAAGUCGUACCUGAAGAAACCUGACAAGGUCGACCUUGACGAGCAGCCAGAAUCUCCGGGAUCAUUCUUCACCAGCGAUGAUUCCCGGCCACCUUCCCGGAACCCAGACUCCCGCCCCCCUUCCCGGAACCCAGAGGAACAUUCGCCGGUUGACUUCUCCAAGCUGAAGCUUGAGAAGGAUGAAGAACAGAAACUAUCCAAGAGUGUUACUAUCCCACUGACAAGAAUUGAUGACUCUGGCAUCAAGAAAUCACAAAGUGAUGAUGAAUCGUUGAGGAAUUCCAGAUCUGUUCGGAAACUGUCCACAGAUUCAGUACAUUCAGAAAAUGGUUUCGCUGAAAAUGGUGACAUGGACAAGAGAAGUGGCGACAGUGGGCGACGAUGGGUACAUUUGACCAAGUUUGAGUUGGAAGGACUUGCCAAGCUGGUAGAGAAGGUGGAGAAUUUACCGCUCAACAAGCGUCGCGUACCCAAAGAUCUCCUGGAUCCUGAUGCUGUGUUGAGAGACAUCAAGCAACUUCUGGCAGAUCACAAAUAUGACAACACGAAGGCAGCAGCAAGCGGAGAGCCAACGUGUUGGGUGCCAGAAACAACCAAGAAAGUGAAGAAAUUGAAAACAACAACGACAUACGUAGGAGGGAAGACAACAAAAGGCUGCACAGCAAGCAAAGUGGCGUCAGGUAACCGUCGGCGACGGACACGGUGCAAGAAGUGCGAGGCGUGUACAAGGUCCGACUGCGGGGAGUGUAACUUCUGUAAAGACAUGCGUAAGUUCGGAGGCCCAGGCAGGAUGAAACAGUCCUGUAUCAGCAGGAAGUGUAUGGCUCCUGUGUUGCCGCACACAGUCACCUGCUGUAUCUGUGAGAAGGAUGGUAAGAUGGCAAGUGAGGACAACCCAGAUGAGAUAGAGACCAUCGUCAUGGAGUGCAGCCUCUGCUGGGAGAUUGUCCAUCCCGCCUGUCUCAAGGAGAAGUACGACUCUCUUGACAAUGAUGGCAUCGUCAACGAAGACCUCCCUAACAGCUGGGAAUGCGCCAAAUGUUGUAACGAAGGAAAACAGGGGCAGCUGAAGCCUAAAACACCUAAACCAGUUGGGCGACCUAAAGGAAUCGACAGUAGAAGGUCAUCUGCCAGCAGUGUGGGUGACCUCGAAGUGAAGGAGGAGGUCGAGAUGGAGGCGACUUUGGAAAACAACAACACAAAGAUGGCACCAGUGAAGGCCGUGGAGGGGAAGAGAGUCACAUCUAAGGAAACACCAGCAGCCCCGAAACCCUCACCCUCAUCUACUCCCAUCCCCACACCACGGAAACUCAUCAAGAGAGAAACACUUGUCAAAAAAGCAAUCCAACAUCGAGUUAGCCAACAGAGGGCGUUGAAGAGAGAUAGACUGAAACAUGUGAGACGUCUUCAAUCAGCUGACACAGUCAAGAGAGUCCUGCCACAAGUGCGGGCCACGAUCAUCCCAAAGUCCCCCCCUCACGUGAUGAGUCGCAGUGGCAAACGGGCCUUAACAGACAGCAGCGAUGAUGACGAUGAUGAUGAUGACGAAGAUGGCCCCAGCAGAAAGCGUCCCCGCCGUGAGGUAGUGCUGCCUCGCCGUUAUCUAGAUUAAUUCACCAAAUCAUUGUCAUUGUCCCUGGCAGAGAUCUUACACGUGGAUGUCUCACGCCAGUCAUGUUGGUUGCCAUGUCGAUUCGCCUUCCUUCCGUGUUGAAGGUUUUAAGUUACAUUGGCCGUUCAGAUACCGUUAAGAGUUCAGAUAGUUAUUUCGUUUAACACUUCCCAUGGCAGCAUGUUUGAAUAUUUACUAAAAUUUGAGAUUCGUGCAAUUUUAAGAUGCAGCAAUUCUAGUAACCAUGGUUGCGUGCGUUUGUUUGUAUGCUAAUGAUGUUUGAUGUAUCAAUAAUAACAUUAAUAUCAGAUUGUAGUGAUGAUAUCAUCUCACCUGAUAACAUUAAUAUCAGAUUGUAGUGACGAUAUCAUGUCGCCGGAUAACAUUAAUAUCAGAUUGUAGUGACGAUAUCAAGUCGCCUGGUAACAUUAAUAUCAGAUUGUAGUGACGAUGAUAUCAUGUCGCCUGAUAACAUUAACAUCAGAUUGUAGUGACGAUAUCAUGUCGCCUGAUAACAUUAAUAUCAGAUUGUAGUGACAAUGUUUAGCCUGAUAACAUUGAUAUCAGGCUUCUACUGAUAUCAUGUGGCCUGAUAACAUAAACCAGUAUCACAUGUCGUGUAAUAAUUGUUUAUAUAACCUGAAUCAGUAACAUGUUCUGUCCUGAUUUGUGCCUGAUCUUCAACUGCAGACUAAACUUGUUUAGAUUAGUAAUAGCAAGAGACUACUAAUCAUAGUUGUACCACAGUUGUACAGCACUUGUACCACAGUUGUACCACAGUUGUACUGCAGUUCUACAGUACUUGUACAGCAGAUGUACUAGUUUCUCAAAUUUACAGAGUUAUCUUCCCUCGUUCCCAUGCCCAGUGGUCACACCAGGUGGCCGAUGUGAAUUGGUCUGUGUAUUGACCACAACAACCUAGGUAGAUGUACUAUGUCGGUUAGAAAUAUGACAGGUAUUCCAGGUAGAUUUCGCAUUUUUUUAACUUCAACAUUUUGUGGUGACAAAUUUGUAUGUUUGGUUUUUUUAACAAAUUUCGGAAAAAAACAUAGUGAUGUAAAUAUUUGUGUUGAGUUAGUGUGGAACUGUGUUGUACAAAGCCAGAUGGAUAUUUUAUGAACGUUUGUCGAUGUGUUGAUGUAAGUUGUCCUCAGGAAGGUUGCGUAGACGAAGCUGGAGAGAGUUUGAAAGAUGUUGCAGGACUGAACAACCUCUUACAGGGGAUAUUUUUAUGCUCCAAUUUUUCCAGACUAAAUAUUUUAGCUUUCUUUGUGAUGACUGUUUUGUUUGGGGAAAUCUAUGUGAUUGGAAAGAUGAUUUAUCAUUCAAGAGUGUUAGAAAGUUGUUUGGAUUAUGAGACAAAUGUUUGGAAAAUUCUGAUGAUAUUUAUCUUAAAAUAGCAGUUCCCAAUAAAGUUUCCAUGAAGAAGAGUAAGUAUCUUAUUCAAUCACUACAUUUUGGGUUGUUUCCAUAUCUCUCCGCUGAAAAAACAAGCAGAAUGAGAGGCAAAAUAAAAUAUGUAUCACAAAAUUCUACUCAUAUUUUAAUGAUCGUUAUUUAUUACACUAAAUGGAUUCCCUAUUCAGGGAGUACCUUAAAACAUAUUUGUCUCCAGUUUAUUUAUUUAUUUUGUUGUUGAGCUCCAUGAAUGUUGCCACAAGCCUACGUAUGAAAACAGUUCUGCUUUUUACAUGGAAAAGUUGAAGGUGAAAAAGUAGAAGAGUAUGAAACUACUGAAGUAGCAUGUAUUGCAUGUUGAUGGAAGGUUGGUGUUGAAUGUGAGAGAAUGUGUGGCUUGUUGCUAGUGCUGUACAUAGAGUCGCUGCCAGUAUUUAUCAGUGUACGUCACUACCGUCAGAAGCAGACUGGAGGUACAACUAUUCUGUACAUACUGCUGAAGAGAAAUGUAUUUUCAAAUAUUAAUAGGAAUAAAAUCGCAUAAACAUAUUUCUCAGAAUCAGGAUCCCAUCCUCAUGUGCUGGCUGUGGUCCCAGCACAUGAGGAUGGGACCUGCACUGUUAGACUGGAUACUUACAGUAAGAGUCCCCAGGAAUAUGUAUUCCACAUUCUAUUCUGUAACAUAGUAGGCGGCUUUCUUAGAAAUGUUUGCUUUGUAUAUUAUUUUUUAGUAUGAGGAAUUAACAUAAACACUUAAACAUAUUAUUUGAAAACAGUCUCUUCAGAAUAUUGUCCAAAAGUUAAAAUAUUGGAAAUAUGUUUCAUUUAUUAUUCCAUGUUUGGGAAAGUUUGGCUUUGUGAAACCAGUAAAUACGUAAUCCGAAAAAGUCAAGGUCUGAUUAUAUUAUAGUUUGCUCUGAAGAUUAUUUGAUUCUUCAAAAUUAACACCUUAAGAAAAGUUAUCCUUCUCCUUCAUGUUGAACAUAUUUGAGAUACAAGGAGAGAUGCGAGAAAUGUGCUGAUACUCCAUUGUAAACAAAUGUGGAUCUGUUUGACAGCUGGAAGGUGAAAUUAGUGCUUGUUCAGAUAGUAUUGUGAGAGUUGUAUUGGACACAUACUGCUCUCUAUGUGUAGAUAAGAUGUGUGAGAUGCGCCUAUCUUGUUGUAUAUAGUGUCAUGUCGUUGUCAUCAUCAUCAUCAUCACCAUCAUCAUCAUCAUCAUCAUCAUCACCACCAGGGCUGUAACGAUUCACUAAACAUCUGGUACAUUGCAGUAUGUUGUGCCAUGAUGGGUGCAUUAUGAAGAUGAGCAUCGAUACACAACAGGUGGUUUGGAGUGAUUUGCUGCAACUAUUAACACAUGAUGAAAAAUAGGGAAGAAUUAAAAUAAUCUCUUUCUUUCAAACAUGAUUAUUUGAGCUUUGUGAUGUCGUGGGAGUAUUGCUGCAACAAACACUGUUCCACAUAUCUUCAGUCACUCCGUACUGAAUAAUCUAAUGUAUCACUAUCUUACUAGCAACAUACAAGUCGUAUCACAAUAGCGUGUAUCGUUACAGCCCGUAUCAUCAGCACACCGCCCCAGACUUGUAGGAUGCUACAACUGUAGACAGUACUCAGUAUCCAGAACACCCUCUUACAAACAUUGCCAGUGUAUAUGAACAGAGUGGGUUGGUGUUCACACUGUUAACCACUAGCAUGGUGAUAACGCUGAUAUAUCACCUGCAUUCCUCCACCGUGUUGUUUGAUGGUGUUUAUUGUGUUUUAUUACCUGUGGCUUGUAGAGCAGAAUUAACAACCCAUGCAUCAUGGUACCUGGCUCUAGAUAAUAACGUGUAUAUUAUAAUAUUUAUACAUAUUUCAUUCUAGUUUUGAGGUAUCAGUCUUUCCUCAACUCAAUAUUUUUGGCAGCAUGUAGAAAUUUAGCAGAUACAUGUAUAAGGUCCAUUUAAAACAUAAAAUGUUCAGUUUCAUUAGGCAAUACAAAAUCAUAUUGAAGCAAUGGUUGUCGGAAUCUGAUAUAUUUUACAACUUGAAAACAAACUUGUGGAUCAGUACAGGAAAGCAAGUCAUCUUUUAACAUCCUGGAAUUAUUGUGCAUUUUAUUUAUUUCAUCUCAACUGUCCUUGUGUCUGGGGGGAGGUAUCUGUAGAUGAAGUAAAUAAGGAAAGCAGUAUGAAGGUCUAUAGUAUAUAGACAGUCUUGGGCCAGGUGUGAUGGUGCAUGGGAUACAGUUACCAGUUUGCAGUAUCACCUCUUGAUGUUGCAGAAGAGAUGGCAUCAUUUCUGUUUCAAUAUUUAAAUUCCAAAAAUUUUAAGUGGAUUUUAUUAGUUCAUCAAAGUUUAUUUGAACUUUUAUCCUGGCAAUCUUCGUUGAUUCUAACCCUAAUUGCAGCAGAGCCAGCUCAUUUUUAUAUGUAAAUCUGGUGAUUGGCUUUAGUUUCAACCCUGCUUAAAAUGUGUAAAUAAUUGCUUUAAUCAUGUGUUUUCCUGUAAAUAGAAAUGUGUGCUAUUUAAUAAAUGAAAGUUUGUCAAGAGUUCUAUCACAAAAAAUCUCAUGUGUUCAGGAUUUAUUUUUAAAAAGAACAACAACAAUUGAUGUGAAAACCCAACUGUUGGACUUGAGUUAGCCAGUGAAUGGGUAGAUUCCAAAUACACCUUGGUUGAUUCUGAUGGGCAGCUUAUCUUUAUAACUAAAAUAACAAGUUUUAACAAAUUUAAGUUGAGAGUAAUGUUUCCAUUUCAAAGUUUAGAUUAAAAAUUAGUUGCAAGAUAGUCUUUUUGAUGCUGCAUUAACCAAAAAGUAUUUACACCGAUGUUAGUUAGCUUGAGAAAUGCAAGUAUUAGGUUACCAUGACAACAUAUAUCCCAGAAUUUUAAGAAUUGCAUAGCAUUGAAAUGUGUAAAAAGACGUGCUGAUUUUGAUAGGUUAUUUCUUUUGAGACAGAAAGAAAAUAGAAAUUGUAGUGUGUUGUUCCCCAAUACUGUAUCAUAUCUCUAAGGAGCCAUUGUUUAUCUCAGAGCGGAUCGAAGAUGCUGAUAUGAGCGAUACAGUUCGUGCCUGAUCACCUGUAUAUUUGUAAGCCUUAACGUAUCUUUAUGGGAGGUUGGACACUUGGUGUGUAACCUUUGGCCCCGAGAUUGUUUGUUCAAAUUGUUUAAUGAAAGUGAAUCCUGUAGAUAUUUAUUUUAUUGCUUCACAGAUUUAUAAUUCACCAGGAAAUAAAGCUUAACAUUGA